UGGAGCUCCCUUCAAUCCAAACAAGCCCUUAAGAGUUGCCAAUAGCUCCUUAGUCACGAAACCCGCAAGUCUACCGCAUAUUUCCGACAUUAUUUUUACACCAUUGUUGCCAAUCACUGGGAUUUUAAUGAAAUAGAAUUGUGGAAUUCAUAACCCAGCAGCAAUAGCAACCCCUCGACGGCCUUACUUUGGAUAUCAGGGAGCUCUA
rnacentral:precursor_RNA from 1 species